GUCUCUCUUGAGUGGAUCCUGAGUACGACGGAGCACGUGAAAUUCCGUCGGAAUCUGGGAGGACCAUCUCCUAAGGCUAAAUACUCUCUAGUGACCGAUAGUGAACCAGUACCGUGAGGGAAAGGUGAAAAGCACCCCGGAAGGGGAGUGAAAUAGAACCUGAAACCGUGUGCUUACAAGUAGUCAGAGCCCGUUAAUGGGUGAUGGCGUGCCUUUUGUAGAAUGAACCGGCGAGUUACGAUUUGAUGCAAGGUUAAGCAGUAAAUGUGGAGCCGUAGCGAAAGCGAGUCUGAAUAGGGCGUUUAGUAUUUGGUCGUAGACCCGAAACCAGGUGAUCUACCCUUGGUCAGGUUGAAGUUCAGGUAACACUGAAUGGAGGACCGAACCGACUUACGUUGAAAAGUGAGCGGAUGAACUGAGGGUAGCGGAGAAAUUCCAAUCGAACCUGGAGAUAGCUGGUUCUCUCCGAAAUAGCUUUAGGGCUAGCCUCAAGUGAUGAUUAUUGGAGGUAGAGCACUGUUUGGACGAGGGGCCCCUCUCGGGUUACCGAAUUCAGACAAACUCCGAAUGCCAAUUAAUUUAACUUGGGAGUCAGAACAUGGGUGAUAAGGUCCGUGUUCGAAAGGGAAACAGCCCAGACCACCAGCUAAGGUCCCAAAAUAUAUGUUAAGUGGAAAAGGAUGUGGCGUUGCCCAGACAACUAGGAUGUUGGCUUAGAAGCAGCCAUCAUUUAAAGAGUGCGUAAUAGCUCACUAGUCGAGUGACACUGCGCCGAAAAUGUACCGGGGCUAAACAUAUUACCGAAGCUGUGGAUUGUCCUUUGGACAAUGGUAGGAGAGCGUUCUAAGGGCGUUGAAGCAUGAUCGUAAGGACAUGUGGAGCGCUUAGAAGUGAGAAUGCCGGUGUGAGUAGCGAAAGACGGGUGAGAAUCCCGUCCACCGAUUGACUAAGGUUUCCAGAGGAAGGCUCGUCCGCUCUGGGUUAGUCGGGUCCUAAGCUGAGGCCGACAGGCGUAGGCGAUGGAUAACAGGUUGAUAUUCCUGUACCACCUAUAAUCGUUUUAAUCGAUGGGGGGACGCAGUAGGAUAGGCGAAGCGUGCGAUUGGAUUGCACGUCUAAGCAGUAAGGCUGAGUAUUAGGCAAAUCCGGUACUCGUUAAGGCUGAGCUGUGAUGGGGAGAAGACAUUGUGUCUUCGAGUCGUUGAUUUCACACUGCCGAGAAAAGCCUCUAGAUAGAAAAUAGGUGCCCGUACCGCAAACCGACACAGGUAGUCAAGAUGAGAAUUCUAAGGUGAGCGAGCGAACUCUCGUUAAGGAACUCGGCAAAAUGACCCCGUAACUUCGGGAGAAGGGGUGCUCUUUAGGGUUAACGCCCAGAAGAGCCGCAGUGAAUAGGCCCAAGCGACUGUUUAUCAAAAACACAGGUCUCUGCUAAACCGUAAGGUGAUGUAUAGGGGCUGACGCCUGCCCGGUGCUGGAAGGUUAAGAGGAGUGGUUAGCUUCUGCGAAGCUACGAAUCGAAGCCCCAGUAAACGGCGGCCGUAACUAUAACGGUCCUAAGGUAGCGAAAUUCCUUGUCGGGUAAGUUCCGACCCGCACGAAAGGCGUAACGAUUUGGGCACUGUCUCAACGAGAGACUCGGUGAAAUCAUAGUACCUGUGAAGAUGCAGGUUACCCGCGACAGGACGGAAAGACCCCGUGGAGCUUUACUGUAGCCUGAUAUUGAAAUUCGGCACAGCUUGUACAGGAUAGGUAGGAGCCUUUGAAACGUGAGCGCUAGCUUACGUGGAGGCGCUGGUGGGAUACUACCCUAGCUGUGUUGGCUUUCUAACCCGCACCACUUAUCGUGGUGGGAGACAGUGUCAGGCGGGCAGUUUGACUGGGGCGGUCGCCUCCUAAAAGGUAACGGAGGCGCUCAAAGGUUCCCUCAGAAUGGUUGGAAAUCAUUCAUAGAGUGUAAAGGCAUAAGGGAGCUUGACUGCGAGACCUACAAGUCGAGCAGGGUCGAAAGACGGACUUAGUGAUCCGGUGGUUCCGCAUGGAAGGGCCAUCGCUCAACGGAUAAAAGCUACCCCGGGGAUAACAGGCUUAUCUCCCCCAAGAGUUCACAUCGACGGGGAGGUUUGG
rnacentral:rRNA from 1 species